rnacentral:rRNA from 1 species
CCCUUAGAUGUCCUGGGCCGCACGCGCGUUACACUGAUGCAUUCAACGAGCUUAUAACCUUGGCCGAGAGGCCUGGGCAAUCUUGUUAACGUGCAUCGUGAUAGGGAUAGAUUAUUCAAAUUAUUAAUCUUGAACGAGGAAUUCCUAGUAAACGCAGAUCAUCAAUCUGCAUUGAUUACGUCCCUGCCCUUUGUACACACCGCCCGUCGCACCUACCGAUUGGAUGGUCCGGUGAAGCCUCGGGAUUGUGGUUCUUGCCGCUUUAUUGUGGCGUGACCGCGAGAACUUGUCUAAACCUUAUCAUCUAGAGGAAGGUGAANUCGUAACA